rnacentral:rRNA from 1 species
UACUUAAUAGCUAGCUUACAUAAA